GUGCUUGCUUCGAUACCAUAUAUACUUAAAUCGGAAUGAUACAGAGAAGAUUAGCAUGGCCCCUGCACUAGGAUGACACGAAAAUUCAUGAAGAAAUUUAUAUCUGC